AUUAUCUUUUUAGUUAAUCUUUCCUUAGAAGUAGAGUAAUUCCAUAGAUUUUGAUAGGUUGCAUAAUUUGUACCCUAUCAAUCAUUCUUCUACCAUGCCUCCCAAGACCAAGGAGAAUGAAGAAUCCUUACUGCAACUCUUCAUAGAAAAAUUGCAAGAGAACAAAAAGCAAGAAAAUGCUAAACGUGAAUCAAUAAUGGAAGCAUUGAGAUCCAUCACUAACAAGCUAUUAGAUCUCAAAGUCCAACCCCCACCACUGCCAGAUCCACCAGACCCUAACUCUCCCUUUAAUAUAACCACCAACACCCCAAUAUCAACACUCAUUACCCCAACAGCCACACAGUGUAACCCUUUUCCACACCAUCACAACCAUAGCCCACACCCUUAUCCUAAUGAAUGGAGAAACCAACCAUCUAGCCAACCCCCAUCUCAGUCUCAACUCCAAAG
rnacentral:lncRNA from 1 species